UACAGAGGUGGCGAGCGUUAUUCGGAAUUAUUGGGCGUAAAGAGCGCGUAGGCGGUCCGGUAAGUCGGUUGUGAAAGUCGGGGGCUCAACCCUCGGAUGCCGAUCGAUACUGUCGGGCUAGAGUCCGGAAGAGGCGAGUGGAAUUCCUGGUGUAGCGGUGAAAUGCGCAGAUAUCAGGAGGAACACCAAUGGCGAAGGCAGCUCGCUGGGACGGUACUGACGCUGAGGCGCGAAAGCGUGGGGAGCAAACAGG
rnacentral:rRNA from 1 species